rnacentral:rRNA from 1 species
ACUCCUACGGGAGGCAGCAGUGGGGAAUAUUGGACAAUGGGCGAAAGCCUGAUCCAGCAAUGCCGCGUGAGUGAUGAAGGCCUUAGGGUUGUAAAGCUCUUUACCAGGGAUGAUAAUGACAGUACCUGGAGAAUAAGCUCCGGCUAACUCCGUGCCAGCAGCCGCGGUAAUACGGAGGGAGCUAGCGUUGUUCGGAAUUACUGGGCGUAAGCGCGCGUAGGCGGCGAU